GAACUGCGAUAAGUAAUGUGAAUUGCAGAAUCCAGUGAAUCAUCAGAUCUUUGAACGCAAAUGGCGCCGGAGGGAUCUCCUUUCGGCAUGUCUGUUUCAGUGUCUGAGAGGUUUCACACAAAUCUUAAUGUGAUUGACAAGAGAUGAAGAUGUAUUUAUUUAUAUUCCUCUUCUUGAGUCUCUCAUGAAAGAUGCGCAAGGGGAUCUUUCGGUCCAAUGAAGUGGUCACAUCACUCGCAUGUGAUUUCAUUGGAUUUAUAACCAAACCGAAUUAUCCGAUAACUUGCGGUUCUUUACUACAAAAAAACUUCCAUACCCUGCAUCUGAGACAGGCAAGAUUACCCGCUGAACUUAA
rnacentral:misc_RNA from 1 species